CAAGUGGUUAGCGCACUUGCCUUUCACCUCUGAGGCUGCAGGUUCGAGUCUCACUAAGUACCUUCUCAGUGCGACUCAAACCCAGUCCCCAUGUGAAAAGAGUAAAAGUCAACGCUCUGCCGAAAGCCGUGGGUUUUCCCCGGGUACUCCGGUUUCCUCCCACAGGGAAAGUUGACAGUGUGGGUUAGGUAAAAAAGGGCCCACAGUAAUUGGCAUAUGCUGUUGUGGUGACCCUGCCCUAGUUGGCAAAAGCUAAAUAAAUAAAUAAAUAAAUAAAUAA